AUUUUGACUUUUUUUUCACACUACAGUUUAUCAUUUCAGCUGACAUUAAUAUGUAGUAGGAGAGGUGAUCCUAAAGUAUAUGAA